CCUUGCAGCCGCAUCACUCUCUCUCCCCGAUCUCUCUCUCUCUCUUGUCCUCUCUGCCAUCACCGGAAAACUCCAGCUCCGGCCACCAUCUCACCACACCGUCACCACCAAUCGAACCAGCACCAAAAUCUGACCAAAGCCCAACUGUAAUCACCACCAAGCAUCGCCAUUAACCUCCACAUGCAACCACCAUAGCUGUCGCCACAUUGCCCAGCCAAAACAUCCAUUUCCGGCCAUCAUCUCAACUCACCACCGCCACCAACGAGUUCAGAGCAAGCAGUUUAUCACCUUCCCAAAGCCUCGUCGCUAACCCAAAGCUGGAGAACUCCGUGCAUGCCUUCGUCGGCGAUCUGGGCUUCUGGAAAGCCAGGAUAACCACCUCCGGCCACGAUUGGGCGAAGCCAUCACCUUGAAGAAGCUUAGGGCUGCACGAAUUGCCUUAACCCCUUAAUCCCGGCUUCUGACUCUGACCAGAGCCACCGUAUGCGCUACACGCGCCGGCGGCAGCACUUGAGCCACCCUGCGCCGCCGUGAAUGCCACCAAUUUAUCCACUUCCGUCUGGUUCGUGGAAAUUUGGAAUCUUGAAGCUUCGGAGGAGAGUUUGUGCUGAUGGGUCAGUUUUGAAUAACAUUAAUCAAGGGAAUUCGAGAAGUUGAUGGUGAUGGAGUACAAUACGUUGAAUCGUGACUAUCAGCAGAAAAAGAAAAGGAAAUGGACUCGAGCAUGUGCACUUGGAUUAGAACAAAUGAUCGGAAGUCGGAAACGAAGCUAAGUUUGGGCGAGCACUCCAUUUCCAGUGUGCAGGUUUCGAGCAUGUGGUCGGGGAGCGUAUAGAGGAGGCACAUGGCCCGGCUGGCGCAUUCUUCUUUAAUUUUAUCAAAAGAAGGAAACCGCAAUGGAAUGGACGGUUAAAAUUGAACGUGGGUGAAGUCGCCUACUCCGGUUGAGCCUGGUUUAAUAAAGCUGCUCUUGUUAAAUUGGCAUGGAAAGUGUUGACAGAACCUCAUCCCUCAUAAUUGAAAAUUCCAGAAAACCCAAACUCUCCCUAGCUUUCGGUUGACCCGACCUGGACCCGGUUUUUGGACUCGACUAUUCCGGCAAUUUUCGACGACGGUGCUGACCCAGACUUGAUCGCCUCCUCCUUGCGAUCCUCCCCUGGGUGGUGGUUUGCUCCGAUUUGCAUCCACGCUGGUGGAUCGAAGCCUCAAAAUUUGGUAGCGUCGAACCCAGUUGGUUCUCCCUUUUCCAGUGAUGUCACAACUUGAAAUCGGUCUAGUUUUGUAGCCCACGACGUCCUUGUUCGAUCCUUGGUGGCCUUGUUGAUUUAUUUGACCGAAGUUGCUCCAAUUCUCGGUGAGAAGUUUUACUCGACUUUCUGCGGCGAUCUAGGUUGAAUCGGCCAAAACUCCAGGUGUUAAAGUUGCUCUACUUGGUGUUCUCUCCAUUUUGGAAGGUUGGAUUUGACUGGAUUGAAGUUUGACACGGCGGCGCAUGAGGCUUACGCGCAGCUGCUUGUGGUGGCGCGUCUGGCCGUGGUUGGAUCAGUUUCUUACUCCAUUAUCAUCUACUCAUCGAUACGAGCAGUUUGAUAUAUGGUUUGUAACAUUUGGAGAUCGUUUGAACAUGUUAGGGUUUUUUGUAGUUUCAUUUCGUUCGGUUUUCGAUCCGUGAGGAUCCGACUGUUACAUUGACUUGUCGUUUUGACAUAUCGAUUCCAGAAGUAUUCCGAAGACUUUGGAUGAAGUUUUGUCUCGAUUGACAUAACUUUUGGGUUUUAGUUCAAAUAGGGGAUUCGAACUUUAAUCGCUUUGAUAUUUGUGAACUGAGUUGAGACUGUAUGUUCCUUAGGUACUUGACAAAGGGUGUUCUGUAAGUUAUCUUUUUUCGUGUGGAGAUGCAGCAGGAUCUUGAGGGGUUAAUCCUGUAGGUCCGGAUAAUUGUUGCUGAAGCUAAGAUCUUGUAAUUGCAGCUUUACCGGUAGGAAGCCAAUUUUGUGACUUUACCUUUGUUAAGACUUCCGCAGUGUAGUAAGCUCUGAGCAGCAUUUACUUAUUAUUUUGUUAUGCAACUUAGUUCGUAAACUUGUGUAAUAUAAUAUAUGACCCUAAAGAGCGAGUCUGUAUUGACAUUGUAUGUUCAAGGCAUUAGUUUGUACUUGGUUUAAAAGAAAAAAAAG